GACGAACGCUGGCGGCGUGCUUAACACAUGCAAGUCGAACGGAAAGGCCCUGCUUUUGUGGGGUGCUCGAGUGGCGAACGGGUGAGUAACACGUGAGUAACCUGCCCUUGACUUUGGGAUAACUUCAGGAAACUGGGGCUAAUACCGGAUAGGAGCUCCUGCUGCAUGGUGGGGGUUGGAAAGUUUCGGCGGUUGGGGAUGGACUCGCGGCUUAUCAGCUUGUUGGUGGGGUAGUGGCUUACCAAGGCUUUGACGGGUAGCCGGCCUGAGAGGGUGACCGGCCACAUUGGGACUGAGAUACGGCCCAGACUCCUACGGGAGGCAGCAGUGGGGAAUAUUGCACAAUGGGCGGAAGCCUGAUGCAGCAACGCCGCGUGCGGGAUGACGGCCUUCGGGUUGUAAACCGCUUUCGCCUGUGACGAAGCGUGAGUGACGGUAAUGGGUAAAGAAGCACCGGCUAACUACGUGCCAGCAGCCGCGGUGAUACGUAGGGUGCGAGCGUUGUCCGGAUUUAUUGGGCGUAAAGGGCUCGUAGGUGGUUGAUCGCGUCGGAAGUGUAAUCUUGGGGCUUAACCCUGAGCGUGCUUUCGAUACGGGUUGACUUGAGGAAGGUAGGGGAGAAUGGAAUUCCUGGUGGAGCGGUGGAAUGCGCAGAUAUCAGGAGGAACACCAGUGGCGAAGGCGGUUCUCUGGGCCUUUCCUGACGCUGAGGAGCGAAAGCGUGGGGAGCGAACAGGCUUAGAUACCCUGGUAGUCCACGCUGUAAACGGUGGGUACUAGGUGUGGGGUCCAUUCCACGGGUUCCGUGCCGUAGCUAACGCUUUAAGUACCCCGCCUGGGGAGUACGGCCGCAAGGCUAAAACUCAAAGGAAUUGACGGGGCCCCGCACAAGCGGCGGAGCAUGCGGAUUAAUUCGAUGCAACGCGUAGAACCUUACCUGGGUUUGACAUGGAUCGGGAGUGCCCAGAGAUGGGUGUGCCUCUUUUGGGGUCGGUUCACAGGUGGUGCAUGGCUGUCGUCAGCUCGUGUCGUGAGAUGUUGGGUUAAGUCCCGCAACGAGCGCAACCCUUGUUCACUGUUGCCAGCACGUUAUGGUGGGGACUCAGUGGAGACCGCCGGGGUCAACUCGGAGGAAGGUGGGGAUGACGUCAAGUCAUCAUGCCCCUUAUGUCCAGGGCUUCACGCAUGCUACAAUGGCUGGUACAGAGAGUGGCGAGCCUGUGAGGGUGAGCGAAUCUCGGAAAGCCGGUCUCAGUUCGGAUUGGGGUCUGCAACUCGACCUCAUGAAGUCGGAGUCGCUAGUAAUCGCAGAUCAGCAACGCUGCGGUGAAUACGUUCCCGGGGCU
rnacentral:rRNA from 1 species